rnacentral:rRNA from 1 species
GAUGAACGCUGGCGGCGUGCCUAAUACAUGCCAGUCGAGCGAACAGACGAGGAGCUUGCUCCUCUGACGUUAGCGGCGGACGGGUGAGUAACACGUGGAUAACCUACCUAUAAGACUGGGAUAACUUCGGGAAACCGGAGCUAAUACCGGAUAAUAUAUUGAACCGCAUGGUUCAAUAGUGAAAGACGGUUUUGCUGUCACUUAUAGAUGGAUCCGCGCCGCAUUAGCUAGUUGGUAGGGUAACGGCUUACCAAGGCAACGAUGCGUAGCCGACCUGAGAGGGUGAUCGGCCACACUGGAACUGAGACACGGUCCAGACUCCUACGGGAGGCAGCAGUGGGGAAUCUUGCGCAAUGGGCGAAAGCCUGACGGAGCAACGCCGCGUGAGUGAUGAAGGUCUUCGGAUCGUAAAACUCUGUUAGUAGGGAAGAACAAAUGUGUAAGUAACUAUGCACGUCUUGACGGUACCUAAUCAGAAAGCCACGGCUAACUACGUG